rnacentral:rRNA from 1 species
AAGGGGGGACGGAGAAGGCUAUGUUGGCCGGGCGACGGUUGUCCCGGUUUAAGCGUGUAGGUGUGUGUUCCAGGUAAAUCCGGUUCACUUUAACACUGAGGCGUGAUGACGAGGCACUACGGUGCUGAAGCAACAAAUGCCCUGCUUCCAGGAAAAGCCUCUAAGCAUCAGGUAACAUCAAAUCGUACCCCAAACCGACACAGGUGGUCAGGUAGAGAAUACCAAGGCGCUUGAGAGAACUCGGGUGAAGGAACUAGGCAAAAUGGUGCCGUAACUUCGGGAGAAGGCACGCUGACACGUAGGUGAAGUGAUUUACUCAUGGAGCUGAAGUCAGUCGAAGAUACCAGCUGGCUGCAACUGUUUAUUAAAAACACAGCACUGUGCAAACACGAAAGUGGACGUAUACGGUGUGACGCCUGCCCGGUGCCGGAAGGUUAAUUGAUGGGGUCAGCGCAAGCGAAGCUCCUGAUCGAAGCCCCGGUAAACGGCGGCCGUAACUAUAACGGUCCUAAGGUAGCGAAAUUCCUUGUCGGGUAAGUUCCGACCUGCACGAAUGGCGUAAUGAUGGCCAGGCUGUCUCCACCCGAGACUCAGUGAAAUUGAACUCGCUGUGAAGAUGCAGUGUACCCGCGGCAAGACGGAAAGACCCCGUGAACCUUUACUAUAGCUUGACACUGAACAUUGAGCCUUGAUGUGUAGGAUAGGUGGGAGGCUUUGAAGUGUGGACGCCAGUCUGCAUGGAGCCGGCCUUGAAAUACCACCCUUUAAUGUUUGAUGUUCUAACGUGGACCCGUGAUCCGGGUUGCGGACAGUGUCUGGUGGGUAGUUUGACUGGGGCGGUCUCCUCCUAAAGAGUAACGGAGGAGCACGAAGGUUGGCUAAUCCUGGUCGGACAUCAGGAGGUUAGUGCAAUGGCAUAAGCCAGCUUGACUGCGAGCGUGACGGCGCGAGCAGGUGCGAAAGCAGGUCAUAGUGAUCCGGUGGUUCUGAAUGGAAGGGCCAUCGCUCAACGGAUAAAAGGUACUCCGGGGAUAACAGGCUGAUACCGCCCAAGAGUUCAUAUCGACGGCGGUGUUUGGCACCUCGAUGUCGGCUCAUCACAUCCUGGGGCUGAAGUAGGUCCCAAGGGUAUGGCUGUUCGCCAUUUAAAGUGGUACGCGAGCUGGGUUUAGAACGUCGUGAGACAGUUCGGUCCCUAUCUGCCGUGGGCGCUGGAGAACUGAGGGGGGCUGCUCCUAGUACGAGAGGACCGGAGUGGACGCAUCACUGGUGUUCGGGUUGUCAUGCCAAUGGCACUGCCCGGUAGCUAAAUGCGGAAGAGAUAAGUGCUGAAAGCAUCUAAGCACGAAACUUGCCCCGAGAUGAGUUCUCCCUGAGACUUUAGGUCUCCUGAAGGAACGUUGAAGACGACGACGUUGAUAGGCCGGGUGUGUAAGCGCAGCGAUGCGUUGAGCUAACCGGUACUAAUGAACCGUGAGGCUUAACCUUACA